rnacentral:rRNA from 1 species
UACAGAGGGUGCGAGCGUUACUCGGAAUUACUGGGCGUAAAGGGCGUGUAGGCGGCUACGUGCGUCAGAUGUGAAAUCCCUGGGCUUAACCUAGGAACUGCAUUUGAUACGGCGUAGCUAGAGAUGGAUAGAGGGUAGUGGAAUUGCGAGUGUAGAGGUGAAAUUCGUAGAUAUUCGCAGGAACACCAGUGGCGAAGGCGGCUACCUGGGUCCAUACUGACGCUGAGGCGCGAAAGCGUGGGGAGCAAACAGG